UACGUAGGGGGCAAGCGUUGUCCGGAAUUAUUGGGCGUAAAGGGUGCGUAGGCGGGUCUUUAAGUCAGGGGUGAAAUCCUGGAGCUCAACUCCAGAACUGCCUUUGAUACUGAGGAUCUUGAGUUCGGGAGAGGUGAGUGGAACUGCGAGUGUAGAGGUGAAAUUCGUAGAUAUUCGCAAGAACACCAGUGGCGAAGGCGGCUCACUGGCCCGAUACUGACGCUGAGGCACGAAAGCGUGGGGAGCAAACAGG
rnacentral:rRNA from 1 species